GAAGGGGCCGCAGGACUUGGGGCCCGACAGAGCCCAAAGUGCAGCCUCAGCAGAGGGUCUCCAGGCGGCAAGCAGCCCUGGGCCCAGGCCACAGGCUGCCAACGUCCCGGGGUGCAGCUUGGCCCGAAGCUCUGGUGGGAGGAGGAGAGGGAAGCUGAUUCUCGAAGGUGAGGAAGCUGACCAUCUGAGGUGCAGAUGGGGAAAGGGACUUUCUCCAAGGUGAUCCAGCUAGUGAGGAUUCACACCCAAGUCUGCUGUUUUCCCCCUGUAUCACUCUCACCGUGCCCUGCGUUUGAUUGAUGGGGAAAGGAGAAACAGGAGAGACUGCUGGAAGUUCAUGGUUCAGUGGAGAGAACCAGAGAGAGGUUCUGAGAGCCCAGUUUAGAUAAUCGACGAAAUAAAAAACAAAACCCCUGCUUUGGAGUAUUCGAAGAUUUCCAAGGGGUAAACGCUCCCACUGAAAACUGAACAAUCUUUCAGUCCGGGCAGGUGCCAUUUUAGUCCUGUGCAUGUCCCCUUUUGAUAAGUCAGGCUCCCCAAGGACCAAACGCGGUAAAGGAGUGGCUCCAGAGCAAACAGAGGUAAAGGGAGAGCUACAUCCUGGUGUUCCAGCAACCAGCUCAGCAUUUUUUCGGAGAGGAGCAAGGGGGUGACCUUCGGGAUCAAGCCCAGGGAUAGAGGAAAUACUGCUACUACGUCUAUACCCCAAAAGAGAUCAAAGAAAGAAGAAAAGGACCCAUAAGGUAUAAGAAUAUUUAUAGCAACUCUGUGGUGGCGAAGAAUCAGAACCUGAGGUUGUGCUGAUCAAUUGGGGAAUGGCUAAACAAGUUAUGGCAUAUGAAUAUGAUAUAAUACUAUGGUACUGUAAGACAGGAUAAAGGGGAAGGGCUUUCAAUGAAGACCUAGGAAGAUUUAUGUGAACUGAUGUGAAGUGAAAUGAGCAGAACUAGAAGAAUACUUUAUACAGUAACAGCAAAAUUGUAAAGAUGAUCGACUGUGAAAGACUUAGAGGAACUCUGACCAAUUCAAUGUCUCGCCACAGUUACAAAGGACUCAUGAUAAAAGUGCUAUCUGCCUUCAAAGAGCUGAUGGAUUCAGCGUGGCAACUGAAGCAGAUUUUCUUCUAUUUCUGCACCUGCUCUCCAGUUGACCAGAGGCACCAGCUUUGAGAUCUCAAGCCACAUCAAAGACAGGAAAGUGCUUGGAGCCAAAGGCAAACACCUCCCUGAUUCUUCUGGGAUGACAACAAGAAUAUGGUUGGCUUCCUCAGUUAAAUAUAAUAAAGAUUAAUUAAUAUGGUGCAGAGGUUAACGCUGAACUUCAGAUUAAAGGAUAAAAGAUGACUAUUUCAGACAUAGGAGAAUGUGCUUGGUAAAAUAUUGACUUUUGGUAACUCAGCAUCUGCUUCAAUACUUGAAUAGAUUAGCUCAAGGUCUUUAGGGACAACAGGGAGGGAAGCUGGGCUCACCAGAUACUCUAGAGUUCAGAUCGAGCCUCAGACACUUACUAACUAUGUGAUCUUUUGAAGGUCACAUCACCUCUGUCUGUCUCAGUUCCCUCAUCUGUGAAAUAGGGCUACUUGCACUUACCUGUGAAGUAAGUACUAUGGGUGUUAGUGUCCUUGUUUUACAGAUGAAGACACAGAGUCUCAGAGUGGUGAAGUGAUAAUAACAAUGGAGAAACGUAUUGUCUUCCUGAGUAUGCACCAAAAACAUAAAAGAGAAUUUCCCAACAUUCGUCAAGACGAAUGAUCCCAACUCCCUCAGGUUGAGAUCCAUGUGACCAUGAAUGGUACCAAAAUGGCUAAGAGUACAAAGUCUUGGUCGAGGAAGAGAAGAACACAAGCACAGCAGUUUGUUCUCCUCGUGAGUGCCCACUGAAGAGCUAAUGCCCCUUGAAGGAACUCCAAAAAUUGCAGGAAGAGGUCCCCAGAGGAUUGCCUUCCCCAGGUUCAUGGUCCUCUGUGGAGAUACAUACAUAAACCUAUAGCUCACAAGUUCCGUAGAUGGAUUUUUUCCAGUCAGGACUCAGCCAGAGGACACAAUUAGCUCGAAGAAUAAAACACUGACUUCAAUAGCAUAGCCAGAUUGAAUGUAGAAUACCUUGGCCCCAUCCUCAAUGAACUCAGAGCACAUCCUCUUGCAAUUAUAGGCACCAUCCACGAAAAAAAGAGUAAGUACAAAAAUCUUGCAAGAAAGACCCAAUGAGGGGAAUAUAUGGGCAGCUCACAUCUCAGAAGCUGCUGGGCCCCUGUGUCCUUUCUGAGACAUCUGUGCGCUGUUGCUCUGGGCAGGAUGUAUCAGGGAGGGCUGGCAUUCUGCUGGGCUUACUGGGCCUCCUCCCUGAAGGGUCCAUUGCUGUGCUUGGUGGCUGACAGUCUCUGUAACCUCCAAGUCUGGUGGAAAUGAAAUCCUUGGCAGGAGCUUCAUUCUUUCUUUCACUCUUUCUUAGGACCAGAAGUCUUCCCAGCUCUGCUCUGUUAGAGUCUGGGCUGUGUGGCUUGCUAUCUAAUGAGCUGUAGAAUGCCAGAUGUUGAUGCCAAGCUCUCUCUCUUCUCAACUAUCUGUGCUGAAAGGGUGGGGGGCAGGAAACAAUAUUCCACUAUCCUCCUUUCAGGUUGCAUACAAGAGCUCUUCUGCAGUUAUACACUUUGGCUCCAUACCAGUUGCCUUUGGAAGAGUCCCAAGGGCAGAGCAGAUUCUUGAGCUCAUCGUUAUAUUGACCGUCUCAGAGAGACACUAACUUGUUAUUUAUCUAGGCCACGUGAGGUGGGAGUGCUCCUCUCAGUCAGUCACUCAACAUUUCCUGGGCUCCAUCUGCAACUUUCAUCCAAUGCCUAAUGCCCUACUGACUGACACUUCUUCAACUAGACCAGUGACUAAUAGUGGUCGAUGAGAUUUGAUGCUCUCAGACUGUUUAGGAAACUAUUCAAAUCAAAGUCAUUAGGUUCUUCAGGAAAACUCAGUUUGAUCAGGAACUUCCUCUGGUCUACCUAUUUUGUAAGGGGAAGGCAUGCAGGAGAUAAAAAUAGAUUUGGGAAGUAAACAAGCAGCUAAGAAAGGGGUCUGAGAAUGGAAUUUGGACUUCCAGACCAUGGCUUAAAUACAAGUAUGACAGAUCCCAGACCAGGGUUCAAGUGCAAUGAAGUACAACCUCGCUGGGCUCUACUGCCUUUCCUGUCUCUUAGUUCUUUCCUGUUUAUCCUACACAGAGCUUGUUUGUACGUAUUUUUUUUGUUCAUCAUUUGUGUCAUUAGAUUGUAA